CUCAAUCAAGUUAGUUAGUUAUGUUGUUCAAGCCUUCUAAAUCUUUAGUGGUAUUAUGACAACUUGUUCUAUCAAUUCCUGAGAGAACAGAGUUUAAAAUCUAUUCUAAUGUUCUGCUGCUCUGUGGCCUUGAGGAGCUUCUUCCUGUCCUCUCAUCUCUUCACCUUGUUCUGGGGUAAAUCAUCUCUGGACCGCCUUACCUGCUGAGCAGCUCACUGGAGACCACACCGUGGAGGCACACCACACAGAACAGCCAAACUCCCCAGGCCACAACCAGGCUACACCUCCUGAAAGACAACUGGAGAACCAAAGAGCAUCAGUCUUUGUGGCCUCCCUGUACCAUCUCCUCCUACCAUCAGAGCAUACCAGAGCCUCCAAACUCUUCUUGGGUAGUGUCAGAACCUGCAACGGUCAUGUUAAUUCAGUAAAAAUGUCUGUGUCUUAGAUCUGAGUGCAGUCGCCUCCGUUGACCUUUGAGCUCCCUAAGGACAGAAAUCAGGUCUUAGCCCUAGAGGGUUCCUCCACUGAAUGGAGAGCUCUGCACAUAGCAGGGGCUCUUGAAAUGGCAUCACCAAAGUCGGUAAGAAUCAAGAGGUUUGUUCUCCUAUGCAAAUUGGAUAGUCCAAAUUAAAAUUCCCCUUCCUCCUGAUUAUUU
rnacentral:lncRNA from 1 species